GAGUUUGAUCAUGGCUCAGAACGUACGCUGGCGGCACGCCUAACACAUGCAAGUCGAACGGAGUAGCAAUACUCAGUGGCAGACGGGUGAGUAACAUGUAGGUAUCUGCCCUUUGGCCUGGAAUAACACGAGGAAACUUGUGCUAAUACCGGAUAAGUCUUUACGGAGAAAGCUUUAUGCACCAUUGGAUGAGCCUGCACUUGAUUAGUUUGUUGGUGGGGUAAUGGCCUACCAAGACUUUGAUCAAUAGCUGAUUUGAGAGGAUGAUCAGCCACAUUGGGACUGAGACACGGCCCAAACUCCUACGGGAGGCAGCAGUGGGGAAUCUUGCACAAUGGAGGAAACUCUGAUGCAGCGAUGCCGCGUGAGUGAAGAAGGCCCUUGGGUUGUAAAGCUCUUUCGUCGGGGAAGAAAAUGACUGUACCCGAAUAAGAAGGUCCGGCUAACUUCGUGCCAGCAGCCGCGGUAAUACGAAGGGACCUAGCGUAGUUCGGAAUUACUGGGCUUAAAGAGUUCGUAGGUGGUUGAAAAAGUUGGUGGUGAAAUCCCAGAGCUUAACUCUGGAACUGCCAUCAAAACUUUUCAGCUAGAGUUUGAUAGAGGAAAGCAGAAUUUCUAGUGUAGAGGUGAAAUUCGUAGAUAUUAGAAAGAAUACCAAUUGCGAAGGCAGCUUUCUGGAUCAUUACUGACACUGAGGAACGAAAGCAUGGGUAGCGAAGAGGAUUAGAUACCCUCGUAGUCCAUGCUGUAAACGAUGUGUGUUAGACGUUGGAAAUUUAUUUUCAGUGUCGCAGCGAAAGCGAUAAACACACCGCCUGGGGAGUACGACCGCAAGGUUAAAACUCAAAUGAAUUGACGGGGACCCGCACAAGUAGUGGAGCAUGUGGUUUAAUUCGAAGAUACGCGCAGAACCUUACCAACACUUGACAUGUGCGUCGCGACUUUAAGAGAUUAAAGUUUUCGGUUCGGCCGGACGAAACACAGGUGCUGCAUGGCUGUCGUCAGCUCGUGUCGUGAGAUGUUGGGUUAAGUCCCGCAACGAGCGCAACCCUCACUUUUAGUUGCCAUCAUUUAGUUGGGCACUCUGAAAGAACUGCCAGUGAUAAGCUGGAGGAAGGUGGGGAUGACGUCAAGUCCUCAUGGCCCUUACGUGUUGGGCUACACACGUGCUACAAUGGUAUCUACAACAGGAAGCAAGACGGCGACGUUUAGCAAAUCCUUAAAAGAUACCUCAGUUCGGAUUGCACUCUGCAACUCGAGUGCAUGAAGCUGGAAUUACUAGUAAUCGUGGAUCAGCGUGCCACGGUGAAUGCGU
rnacentral:rRNA from 1 species